rnacentral:rRNA from 1 species
GAUGAACGCUGGCGGCGUGCCUAAUACAUGCAAGUCGAGCGAAUGGAUUAAGAGCUUGCUCUUAUGAAGUUAGCGGCGGACGGGUGAGUAACACGUGGGUAACCUGCCCAUAAGACUGGGAUAACUCCGGGAAACCGGGGCUAAUACCGGAUAACAUUUUGAACCGCAUGGUUCGAAAUUGAAAGGCGGCUUCGGCUGUCACUUAUGGAUGGACCCGCGUCGCAUUAGCUAGUUGGUGAGGUAACGGCUCACCAAGGCAACGAUGCGUAGCCGACCUGGGAGGGUGAUCGGCCACACUGGGACUGAGACACGGCCCAGACUCCUACGGGAGGCAGCAGUAGGAAAUCUUCCGCAAUGGACGAAAGUCUGACGGAGCAACGCCGCGUGAGUGAUGAAGGCUUUCGGGUCGUAAAACUCUGUUGUUAGGGAAUAACAAGUGCUAGUUGAAUAAGCUGGCACCUUGACGGUACCUAACCAGAAAGCCACGGCUAACUACGUGCCAGCAGCCGCCGUAA